rnacentral:rRNA from 1 species
AACGAACGCUGGCGGCAUGCCUAACACAUGCAAGUCGAACGAGACCUUCGGGUCUAGUGGCGCACGGGUGCGUAACGCGUGGGAACCUGCCCUUAGGUUCGGAAUAACUCCCCGAAAGGGGUGCUAAUACCGGAUAAUGUCUUCGGACCAAAGAUUUAUCGCCUUUGGAUGGGCCCGCGUUGGUUUAGCUAGUUGGUAGGGUAAAAGCCUACCAAGGCGACGAUCCAUAGCUGGUCUGAGAGGAUGAUCAGCCACACUGGGACUGAGACACGGCCCAGACUCCUACGGGAGGCAGCAGUGGGGAAUAUUGGACAAUGGGGGAAAGCCUGAUCCAGCAAUGCCGGGUGAGUGAUGAAGGCCUUAGGGUUGUAAAGCUCUUUUACCCGGGAUGAUAAUGACAGUACCGGGAGAAUAAGCUCCGGCUAACUCCGUG